rnacentral:rRNA from 1 species
GAUGAACGCUAGCGACAGGCUUAACACAUGCAAGUCGAGGGGCAGCAUGAUUAGUAGCAAUACUAAUUGAUGGCGACCGGCGCACGGGUGAGUAACGCGUAUGCAACCUACCUAUCAGAGGGGGAUAGCCCAUUGAAAGAUGGAUUAAUACCGCAUAAAGCAGGGGUCCCGCAUGGGAAUAUUUGCUAAAGAUUUAUUGCUGAUAGAUGGGCAUGCGUUCCAUUAGAUAGUUGGUAGGGUAACGGCCUACCAAGUCAACGAUGGAUAGGGGUUCUGAGAGGAAGGUCCCCCACACUGUACUGAGACACGGACCAGACUCCUACGGGAGGCAGCAGUGAGGAAUAUUGGUCAAUGGGCGAGAGCCUGAACCAGCCAAAUCGCGUGAAGGACGACGGUAUUAUGUAUUGUAAACUUCUUUUAUAAGGGAAUAAAAAGUAGGACGUGUCCUAUGUUGCAUGUACCUUAUGAAUAAGCAUCGGCUAACUCCGUGCCAGCCGCCGCCGUAACAC